rnacentral:lncRNA from 12 species
AUAAACUAAAGAUUUAAAAGGCUUAAGAGAACCAGAAUGAAAAGAGACAUUACAAAUGCACCAAUUAGGGGAAAAGCUUCAGUUAGAACUUGUGUCUUGUCACUCAUCAAAGAAUCCAAUUAUGAGACCAAAACCAGGCUUUGUUAGUUCUGCAAUCCACAGAACUACCUGCUUCAAAGCACAUUAAAGUGCAGCUACAACCUGAAAAGUGACUGUCACAGCUACAAGGGAUGGCAUGGAGCCUGCACUGAGUCUUGGAGGAAACAAAGACCCAACCUUCAGUCCCAAAGGAAUGAACACAGGGAUUUUCCUUGUUUCAACAAAGCUUCCCUGUAUUGGAAGCACGGCCAAUGUCCCUGUCUUGGACUUCUGAGUAUUUCAGGGAGUCUGUACUGUUGCAGAUCCCAUUCAAAUGCAGAGGUGGGCCUGGAAGAGACAGGACAAUCCACGUGGAAACCAUUUUUGUGGGUAGCAAGAGACAGAGGGGCUUCUGUCUACCCAAAAUACUCCACUUUCUUUCCCAGUGACUAAACCUCUUGAGCAUGGCUGGUUUGGGUUUGGCUGGCACUCCUGAAAUCCAAAACACACCCCACUGCUGGGAGCCCAAGCGCAGCGUGUGGGGACACACUUCACCCAGAGAAUUCUGUCCUACCCGCUGUGCGAGUGACUACGUUAAAUUUAAAGGCUUGCAGGACGAGAGGACAUAGUCUUCAGAUGCGCCAGGGGAAAUUUAGGUUGGAAGAAUUACUUCACCAAAAGGGCGAUUAGACAUUGGAGGGGCUGCCCUUGGAGGUGGUGGAGUCAACCAUCCCCGGAGGUGUUCAAAGAACACUGGACGUGGCACUCAGAGCCAUGGUCUAUUGCCAGGCGGUGUUCGGCCACAGGACGGACUCGGAGAUCUCUGGAUCAUUCUGGUCAUUCCCAACAUCACUGAUAGCACGCAGGGCAGAGCACAGCAGCGCUGCCCUCACACACAACAUGGACCCCCACUGCCCUAACACACUCAACAUGGACCCCUCACUGCUCUCACACACACAACACGGACCCCCACUGCCCUAACACACACAACAUGGACCCCCCGCUACCCUCACACACACAACACGGACCCCUCACUGCCCUCACACACAACACAUGGACCCCCACUCCCCCCCCCCCCCCCCCCCCCCCCCCCCCCCCCCCCCCCCCCCCCCCCCCCCCCCCCCCCCCCCCCCC